rnacentral:rRNA from 1 species
AGAAUUGAUCUGGUCAGAACGAACGCUGGCGGCAGGCCUAACACAUGCAAGUCGAGCGCGCCCUUCGGGGUGAGCGGCGGACGGGUUAGUAACGCGUGGGAACGUACCCUUUGGUAGGGAAUAGCCACUGGAAACGGUGAGUAAUACCCUAUGAGCCCUUCGGGGGAAAGAUUUAUCGCCAAAGGAUCGGCCCGCGUUAGAUUAGGUAGUUGGUGGGGUAAUGGCCUACCAAGCCUACGAUCUAUAGCUGGUUUUAGAGGAUGAUCAGCAACACUGGGACUGAGACACGGCCCAGACUCCUACGGGAGGCAGCAGUGGGGAAUCUUGGACAAUGGGGGCAACCCUGAUCCAGCCAUGCCGCGUGAGUGAAGAAGGCCUUAGGGUCGUAAAGCUCUUUCGCCUGUGAAGAUAAUGACGGUAGCAGGUAAAGAAACCCCGGCUAACUCCGUGCCAGCCGCCGC